GACGAACGCUGGCGGCGUGCCUAAUACAUGCAAGUAGAACGCUGAAGGAGGAGCUUGCUUCUCUGGAUGAGUUGCGAACGGGUGAGUAACGCGUAGGUAACCUGCCUGGUAGCGGGGGAUAACUAUUGGAAACGAUAGCUAAUACCGCAUAAUAGUAGAUGUUGCAUGACAUUUGCUUAAAAGGUGCAAUUGCAUCACUACCAGAUGGACCUGUGUUGUAUUAGCUAGUUGGUGAGGUAACGGCUCACCAAGGCGACGAUACAUAGCCGACCUGAGAGGGUGAUCGGCCACACUGGGACUGAGACACGGCCCAGACUCCUACGGGAGGCAGCAGUAGGGAAUCUUCGGCAAUGGACGGAAGUCUGACCGAGCAACGCCGCGUGAGUGAAGAAGGUUUUCGGAUCGUAAAGCUCUGUUGUAAGAGAAGAACGAGUGUGAGAGUGGAAAGUUCACACUGUGACGGUAUCUUACCAGAAAGGGACGGCUAACUACGUG
rnacentral:rRNA from 1 species